UGUAUCGCAGAAUUGGAUUAAUCACUAUUAAAUGUGAAGAUGUAGUAAGACUGAUAUGUCCGCGACAAUCAUAAGAAGCGGUAUUUUGGUGUAAUCAUAUUUAUUCAACCGGUACUGUUGUGCUUGUUUAAGUUCAAUGAACUUUUUGACUUCUAUCAUGUAACCUUCUAUAGUUUCAACCAUUAUUUGAAGAGAAUAAAUUAUUUAAAUUGUCUGUAAGAAUGUGGGGAUAAUCAUGAGCAUACCUCUCAAAUUUAGUAACGUAUAGUUGAAUUAACAUACCAUUCCUAAUUUGCAUCGUUGAAUGAUUAAGUUGUUUAUCAAUAUUUUCAGUAUGCACAAAUGCUUUCUCUUUCUUCCUACAAAAUUUAUUACAAUUACAAUACCAUAUUUAAUUUGCUAUGUAUACUGUAAUGAUAAGUAAUGAGUAUAUUAUGGUUACCUGAAAUUUUCUGUUCUCCUUCACAAUGGUUUUGUAUGUUUGGCUUUACCGCAGUUAAACUAAUGUAUUUAUCCAUCCUCCGAAUGGCAUAAGCUAAUUUCCGUUGUUCUACCAACGAACAACAAAGAAUUAUAAAUUAAUUUUUAGCAUAUGCUCAAGAAUAGGAAAUAUCAAUUAUUGUUGUUGUUACCUUGUUCUGCCAUCUGUCUAAAUUGAACAAAUAUCCUGUGUCAUAACAGAAAACUGGUAAUAUCAUAAUUUAUCUUAAUUAGAUAAUCAAAGUAAUUCUCCAAAGAUAACAUAUACUUACUAAAAUUAAAAGCUAGAUUAUUAUAGGUUCUUUCUAACUUGAAAAACCAAAGCAAUAAAGAAAUAUAUUAAUCAGAAGAAAUAAUACCUUCUGCAAUUGUUGCAGAGAAUCGCAAAGUUUGCGGUAUUAUGUUAUAGAGUGAUACUUGUCAAUAAGUUUAUGAUAGAGAAUAUGGAACAGUGGCUUCUUUUAUAGAAGUGUUUUGACUCCCUUUUUCUAAUAUAAUAAGUUCUCAAAUCAAAUUAGUAAUAGGAAUGGAUUCGGACAAUAUUAGACUUUGCCAAAUAUAAGAAAUUUUAAGAAGUAUGACACAGUCCUAGAGGUAUUAGUAUUAGGUGUAGGAUUUGGACAAUAAAUAAGAGAUUGUCAAAUAUAGUAAUAUUUAGAAUGUAUAGCGUGUUUCUCAAAGGUAUUGGUAUUGAAUUUAGGGAAUAGUUGAAUGUGCUAACGUGUAGUAUAUAAUUGGUAUAAAAAAUUGGAUUAUUAUAGGUCCUUUUGAGACUUGAAAGACCACUAAAUAAAUAUGAAAACAAACAGAAAUUUUUUCAUGACUUUGCAGUCUUAGUGUAAAACUUCGAUUGCCAGCUUCAAAAUUUUGACAAAUCAAUUUUCAACAUUAAAACACCUUCAUGUCUAACAUAAAAACACCCUCAAUUCUAUAUGGUACAAACUAAAAAGUAGUAGACAUCUAAUGCGUAGUGUAGUGAGAUUAAAGAGCUAAUAAUAUAUCUCGA
rnacentral:lncRNA from 1 species